rnacentral:rRNA from 1 species
ACUCCUACGGGAGGCAGCAGUAGGGAAUCUUCCACAAUGGGCGAAAGCCUGAUGGAGCAACGCCGCGUGGGUGAAGAAGGUCUUCGGAUCGUAAAACCCUGUUGUUAGAGAAGAAAGUGCGUGAGAGUAACUGUUCACGUUUCGACGGUAUCUAACCAGAAAGCCACGGCUAACUACGUGCCAGCAGCCGCGGUAAUACGUAGGUGGCAAGCGUUAUCCGGAUUUAUUGGGGCGUAAAGGGAACGCAGGCGGUUCUUUUAAGUCUGAUGUGAAAGCCUUCGGCUUAACCGGAGUAGUGCAUUGGAAACUGGGAGACUUGAGUGCAGAAGAGGAGAGUGGAACUCCAUGUGUAGCGGUGAAAUGCGUAGAUAUAUGGAAGAACACCAGUGGCGAAAGCGGCUCUCUGGUCUGUAACUGACGCUGAGGUUCGAAAGCGUGGUAGCAAAC